GGAGGAGACAAGGAAGUAAAUCAAUGAUCAGAUUCAGUUAUUUUUGAUUAACUGACAAGAAUGACUCUGCCUUUAUGGAAAUUACAAAUGGCUUUGAACUCGACAUUCCUGCCUCAGCAACAGAGGAUAAAAAUCGUGAUGUGAUGGAUAUAGCACACAAGUGAGAAAUAUAAAUAUGGACUACAGGCUUCUAAAGAACAGUUGAGCUUGCUGAGGAUCUGUGCCAGAUAUUGGAAAUGUCUAAGAUGUCAAGAGGAAGCUCUACAAGGAGUAUGGCCUGCAGAAACCCAGGAGAACUGUCUACAUAUCCAGCUUCUCAGCCUGAACUUGUUUUCCUCUGUAAAGAAAAUAGAAUAAUAUAGAGAAAUAGAAUCAGAUAGACCUAAAUUCAAAGCUAGUCCUACUGCAAGUUAACUACCUGUAUGAUCUCAAUUUGACUCACUUAGCUGAAUCUUAGAUUAGAUAGUCAUCCUCUA